AUACAGAGGGUGCGAGCGUUAAUCGGAAUUACUGGGCGUAAAGCGCGCGUAGGCGGUUAUUUAAGUCAGAUGUGAAAUCCCUGGGCUCAACCUAGGAACUGCAUCUGAAACUGGGUAACUAGAGUUUAGGAGAGGGGAGUAGAAUUUCGGGUGUAGCGGUGAAAUGCAUAGAGAUCCGAAGGAAUACCAGUGGCGAAGGCGACUCCCUGGCCUAGAACUGACGCUGAGGUGCGAAAGCGUGGGUAGCAAACGGGAUUAGAAACCCUUGUAGUCC
rnacentral:rRNA from 1 species